rnacentral:piRNA from 1 species
UAAUUACAUAAAGCAUCCUACCAUUG